rnacentral:rRNA from 1 species
AUGUGUGGACAUGACAAUGAAACACUGUUUCACUCGCUUAUGGAGUGUGACCAUGCAAAACGUUUUUGGGAAGCAGCUGAGCGCUUCUUUGGUAUUGACAUACCACGGUUACACCCAUUGUCAUGGUCUCGAGAUCUACUAGAUGAACGUUUGUUCAAGAAGGAGGUGGCGGCUAUUAUGAUCACUGUGAUGUGGGCUGUGUGGCACUCCAGGAACAGUUAUACUCAUGGUGAGUUAGUAUACCAGCCGGUCAAAUCAAUGGUGAUUAUAGAAGAGAUUAUCAGGGCACUGGAAAUCCCUGAGAGGAGGAAGACCCAAGUUACUACUCCCCGGAGGUGGCUACCACCUGAGGAUGGGUGGAUAAAGGUCAACACCGAUGGAGCUACGGACGCGGGUCAAAUAUGUGGCGGGGCGGGCUUCAUUGCUAGAGAUCAUCAUGGAGCACUCGUUAGAGCGGGAGGAUCGCGAUAUGAUGGAGUUACUGAUCCCUUAUCCAUUGAACUACUUGCAUGCAGAUACGCGAUCAUAAUGGCACGUGACAUGGGCUUGCAACAGGUGGUGUUGGAGACGGAUUGUCAGGAGAUCCAGCGACUCUGGGAAGCACCUCAGAGGUCGACGUGUUUUCACCUCAUCAUGGAGAUGAAGGAGAUGUCUACUUUCUUCCAGGGAUUUAGGCUACGGUUUGCAUGUCGCCAGACUAACAUGGCGGCACACCGUCUAGCUAGGCAUUCGAUAAACCUUUCUGUUGUUAUGCAAUUUUUUGAUACAAUCCCUGGGUGGCUGACUGAUUGUUUGCAGUCAGACAUGCUAGCGCCUAAUGAAUAA